CUAGCCGUAAACGAUGGGCACUAGGCAAGGGAGGUACCUAUGUCUUUCCUUGCCGUAGCUAAUGUGUUAAGUGCCCCGCCUGGGGAGUACGCUCGCAAGGGUAAAACUCAAAGGAAUUGACGGGGGCUCACACAAGCGGUGGAGCAUGUGGUUCAAUUCGAAGCAACGCGAAGAACCUUACCUGGCCUUGACAUGCAGAAAUUAGUCCCGUGAAAGCGGGGUGACAGCUCUUCGGAGUCGGAAUCUGCACAGGUGU
rnacentral:rRNA from 1 species